GAUGAACGCUGGCGGCGUGCCUAACACAUGCAAGUCGAGCGAUCUUCUUCGGAAGAGAGCGGCGGACGGGUGAGUAACGCGUGGGUAACCUGCCCUGUACACACGGAUAACAUACCGAAAGGUAUGCUAAUACGGGAUGACAUAUGAAAGUCGCAUGGCUUUUAUAUCAAAGCUCCGGCGGUACAGGAUGGACCCGCGUCUGAUUAGUUAGUUGGUAAGGUAACGGCUUACCAAGGCGACGAUCAGUAGCCGACCUGAGAGGGUGAUCGGCCACACUGGAACUGAGACACGGUCCAGACUCCUACGGGAGGCAGCAGUGGGGAAUAUUGCACAAUGGGCGAAAGCCUGAUGCAGCAACGCCGCGUGAGCGAUGAAGGCCUUCGGGUCGUAAAGCUCUGUCCUCAAGGAAGAUAAUGACGGUACUUGAGGAGGAAGCCCCGGCUAACUACGUGCCAGCAGCCGCGGUAAUACGUAGGGGGCUAGCGUUAUCCGGAAUUACUGGGCGUAAAGGGUGCGUAGGCGGUCUUUCAAGCCAGAAGUGAAAGGCUACGGCUCAACCGUAGUAAGCUUUUGGAACUGUAGGACUUGAGUGCAGGAGAGGAGAGUAGAAUUCCUAGUGUAGCGGUGAAAUGCGUAGAUAUUAGGAGGAAUACCAGUAGCGAAGGCGGCUCUCUGGACUGUAACUGACGCUGAGGCACGAAAGCGUGGGGAGCGAACAGGAUUAGAUACCCUGGUAGUCCACGCCGUAAACGAUGAGUACUAGGUGUCGGGGGUUACCCCCCUCGGUGCCGCAGCUAACGCAUUAAGUACUCCGCCUGGGAAGUACGCUCGCAAGAGUGAAACUCAAAGGAAUUGACGGGACCCGCACAAGUAGCGGAGCAUGUGGUUUAAUUCGAAGCAACGCGAAGAACCUUACCUAAGCUUGACAUCCCACUGAUCUCUCCCUAAUCGGA
rnacentral:rRNA from 1 species